rnacentral:rRNA from 1 species
UGCCCUAGUACGGCGAGUGAAGCGGCAACAGCUCAAAUUUGAAAUCUGGCUCUCGGGCCCGAGUUGUAAUUUGUAGAGGAUACUUUUGAUGCGGUGCCUUCCGAGUUCCCUGGAACGGGACGCCAUAGAGGGUGAGAGCCCCGUCUGGUUGGAUGCCAAAUCUCUGUAAAGUUCCUUCGACGAGUCGAGUAGUUUGGGAAUGCUGCUCUAAAUGGGAGGUAUAUGUCUUCUAAAGCUAAAUACCGGCCAGAGACCGAUAGCGCACAAGUAGAGUGAUCGAAAGAUGAAAAGCACUUUGAAAAGAGAGUUAAAAAGUACGUGAAAUUGUUGAAAGGGAAGCGUUUAUGACCAGACUUGGGCUUGGUUAAUCAUCUGGGGUUCUCCCCAGUGCACUUUUCCAGUCCAGGCCAGCAUCAGUUUUCGCCGGGGGAUAAAGACUUCGGGAAUGUGGCUCUCUUCGGGGAGUGUUAUAGCCCGUUGUGUAAUACCCUGGCGGGGACUGAGGUUCGCGCAUCUGCAAGGAUGCUGGCGUAAUGGUCAUCAACGACCCGUCUUGAAACACGGACCAAGGAGUCGUCUUCGUAUGCGAGUGUUCGGGUGUCAAACCCCUACGCGUAAUGAAAGUGAACGCAGGUGAGAGCUUCGGCGCAUCAUCGACCGAUCCUGAUGUUCUCGGAUGGAUUUGAGUAAGAGCAUACGGGGCCGGACCCGAAAGAAGGUGAACUAUGCCUGUAUAGGGUGAAGCCAGAGGAAACUCUGGUGGAGGCUCGCAGCGGUUCUGACGUGCAAAUCGAUCGUCAAAUAUGGGCAUG